AUAUUUUUACACUAAUAACAUAUAUAAAUUAAUUUUUUGUUUAAUGUCAAAAUAAAACUCUACAUAUCUAUCAUAAGUUUGUUUAGAAAUACAUAUACACCAUAAGAUGAUAUAAAUUUAUUUCAAAAAAGAAAAACAGAGAGGGUAAUUUUGUCUUUUGCAUGGUCGAUUUCUCCUUUUGCAUCUCUUUUUAAUGAUACAUGGGCUUAUUGGGCUAAACCUCUACGAACCACACAGGCCCAUUACAAGAUCAACCCAUCACAUAACCUUAAAAUUGGAAACCCUAAUUCAAAAUCUCUUAUACCCAAAGAAGCGUUUCUGCGCCGCAUCGUGAUUAUUCUACUUCUCUCUAUUUCACUAUUAUUACUUCAUCUUAUAAAUCUUAUAAAUUUCAUAUUCCCAUUCUCUAACUUCACUUCACACACUCUAAUUUUAUUCAUCUCUAUAGUUUCUGCUUCAUUACACCAUAUUUUAUUUUUUAUGCUAUGCCCCUUUGAGUUGUCUUAUGAAAAAUUUCAAUUUCAUAUUUGACUUAGUUAGGGGGCAAAUAUUAAUAGAAAAUCUAAUGUUUAUUAGGUUUCAUUCAAAGAUAGGCUUUUUGAAUCUACAAUUUGUUCUCUCAUAUCAUUUGUAACUCAAACAGCCUUUCACAUAUUCUUCAAUAUAUUUAUUUUUGACUUUAUAACUUUAAUUUAACGUUUGUUAUUUUUUUUGUAACAAAUGCCUUCGAAUAACUAAACAAUCAUACAAUGUUGUUUAGUUCAGACAGAGGCAAAUAUCAAUUAUUAUUAUAUAUCUGAAUUUGUUUGAGGGUGUGGAAUUUUUUUAAUACCGUUCCAUUCCUAGAUAUAUUCGGAUAUUCAUUUUUUCAAUUUGUUUUGAAACUAAAUAGUUCUGAUUUGUUGUUGUUUGGACAUUUUUUUUUGAUUUUAAUGUUAAUAAUUUUUUGAUGUUAUUUUUCAUUUUUUUAAGCCUCUACCAAACAGCUGAAAAAACUUGUUUUUAUAGAUUUUUCGGUUCGCACGGAGGCUAAUAUUGAAAAGGUUUUUAACCCUCUGAAACUCAUUUAAUUUGAAGAAUCAAAUUUGAAAGAUAGGAACAUACAUUGUUAUGAGUGUUCUUUUCCCAUCUAGUUUCAGACAUUGGUUCUAUUUUGAUCUCUUUUUAAUGAAAAUUUGUAUGUUCGUGGUUUAUUUGUUGAUUUAAUAAUAAUUUAUGUAAGAUUUUUUUUAAUGUUUUCGAAUGAAGUUCUUUAUUUGUUUUCACUUCUAUGAAUGUUGCUAUUAUGUUGUUGAUUAAGUCUUUGAUCCCCACUUUUUUUCACUUAUUUUUCUGAAAAAGAUUAUUUUUCUUGAUUCGAUUUUUUAAAUUAUAAGGGGUGUAAGAUUAAAAUCAAAUUUAUUAUAUUGGUUAUUAAAUUUAUUUAAAUUGAUCGGAAAACCUUAUAAAGAAAUUUGAUUAACAGGCCCCAUGUUGGUGUUAAGAAAAAUGUGCCAAAGAAAAAUGUUGGUGUAAAGAAAAUUUUGCCAGGAAUAUUGACAAACAAAUUCAUGCCAUUAAGAAGCACCAAAAGUUGAGAUUCUUUGAUAUCAGAACUCUUUGAAGUCUGUUCCUAAAGUUUUUCAGGGUAUGUCCGACCAAAGAUUUUACCCACCUAAUAGUGAAAUCCUGCAAAUAAAGCAAAAUCUCCUCCUAAAGUACAUAAUGGAAAUGCGCAAGCACACGAGCCUAUUAUUGUCUUUCGAAUUAAGCUUUCGAUUUAGUUGGUGCAGACGCUGAAGGAUCAGUUGACACUAGAUAGGAAAAGCUUUCGAUCGAGAAGUUGUCAAACCUGUUUCCAAGUCACUUUAGAUUCAGUUGGUAUUAUUGUAGUGAAUGCAAACCAUAUUGUGUUGGGAUUGACCAAGACCUCUCCCUUUGCCUUGAGGAAAGGAAAAUUUUGUGUGUGAAGAAUUACUAAAACUAAUUGUAAAGGAAGUUGAGUCGUGUUGGUUGGGAUUUGAGGAAGGAUCUUGUUGAACUAGAAGUGAAUAUGUCUUGUUUAAGGAGGGUAAUGGAUCCAUGAUUAGUAUUUGAGUUCUUGCAAGUGUUGUAGUUGUUAUUGAGCCCUUUUAAGAAGCAAAUGAUGUAUUCAUUGUGUUUGUACGUAGCUACAUCGAUGCUUAGUGAACAAGAACAGCGAGUGGGAACAAGAAUAAAUAUGAAUGGGGCAUAGAAAUUCUAACUCAUCCCAUAGUAGUUUCAAAUCAGUAAAGUAAGCAGAAAUGGUACAAUCACCUUGUUUAAUAGAAUGCAAAUCUUUGAGCAAUCGGAAAUCUCAAAAUUGUUGCCCUUGGUUAAUCGUUCGUUCUACAAUUCAGUGGUGUUGUCAAAACAAGCUUUUCUCUCUUCAAUGUGAAGAGCUAGGGUUUGUGUAAUCCAUGAAAGAACAUAUUAUUGCAGCGAUCCCACAAUGAAAUUUGGAUCAGUGGAAGAAAAGGUUGAGGAAGGGAACCAUUAAUGAAUGAAAGCUUGUUCUUGGAUGAUAAUGCUUGUUUCAUGCAUUUGCUCCAGUUAUGAUAGUUAUUGUCAUUCAACGGAUGUGCAACAAAAACAAAGUUGAUGUUUUCGCUCGGAUGAAGGUAAAAAGGGAUUCGAGGGUUAAGAGUGAGGUUUUGAGGAGAAAUAUCAGGUUUGUUUGGAGAAUUUGUUGGUCUUGGUUCUUCAGCCUUGGAAGAAGAUUGUGAAGAAUGGAGAAAGAACGAUGAAGAAAAAGAUUCAAGUAUGCGCCUUUUGUGUUAUUUUAGUUCAAAAUAUCAUUGUGUUUAAAUAUGCUUUGGUUGUGGACAUCUUCGAACCUCCAAAGGGGUAUUAAGUAUAAACAAAUUAAGAAGUAUAAACAAAUUAAGAAAAUAAAGAUAAGUUUGUUGAUUAUAUUAAGAAAAUAAGAAAAGUUUGUCGAAAGCUA